AACGGCCGUACCAUGCUGAAUAUACCGGUUCUCGUUAGAUCAGCGAAGUUAAGCAUCAUUGGGCGCGGGACCACCUGGGAACACUGUGUGCCGUU